GAGAGGAAGGUGCAGCAGUACCUGCACCGCAAGGGCUUCCGCCUCACUGAGCUCGCGCUGCAGGAGGAGCGCAACUGCCUCUUCACCACCUCCCUCUCCGACGUCUCGCUCUCUAGAACACGAGCAUGAUACUAUGAUGGCUACAACAAGCUAAGAUCAUGGGCAUACAAUUCUCUGGACCAAUACAAGGUGUGCUACAAUUCUCUUUAA
rnacentral:rRNA from 1 species